rnacentral:rRNA from 1 species
UACGUAGGGUGCAAGCGUUUAAUCGGAAUUAUUGGGCGUAAAGCGCACGUAGGCGGUUUGUUAAGUCGGAUGUGAAAUCCCUCGGCUCAACUGAGGAAGUGCAUCCGAAACUGGCAGGCUUGAGUACUAAAGAGGGUCGCGGAAUUCCCGGUGUAGAGGUGAAAUUCGUAGAUAUCGGGAGGAACACCGGUGGCGAAGGCGGCGACCUGGGGUAGAUACUGACGCUGAGGUGCGAAAGCGUGGGGAGCAAACAGG